rnacentral:rRNA from 1 species
CCUACGGGAGACAGCAGUAGGGAAUCUUCCACAAUGGGCGAAAGCCUGAUGGAGCAACGCCGCGUGGGUGAAGAAGGUCUUCGGAUCGUAAAACCCUGUUGUUAGAGAAGAAAGUGCUUGAGAGUAACUGUUCACGUUUCGACGGUAUCUAACCAGAAAGCCACGGCUAACUACGUGCCAGCAGCCGCGGUAAUACGUAGGUGGCAAGCGUUAUCCGGAUUUAUUGGGCGUAAAGGGAACGCAGGCGGUCUUUUAAGUCUGAUGUGAAAGCCUUCGGCUUAACCGGAGUAGUGCAUUGGAAACUGGGAGACUUGAGUGCAGAAGAGGAGAGUGGAACUCCAUGUGUAGCGGUGAAAUGCGUAGAUAUAUGGAAGAACACCAGUGGCGAAGGCGGCUCUCUGGGCUGUAACUGACGCUGAGGUUCGAAAGCGUGGGUAGCAAACAGGAUUAGAUACCCUAGUAGUC